rnacentral:rRNA from 1 species
UACGUAGGAUGCAAGCGUUGUCCGGAAUUAUUGGGCGUAAAGGGCGCGCAGGCGGCACGGUCAGUCAGUUGUGAAAUCUCCCGGCUUAACUGGGAGGGGUCAGCUGAUACUGCCGCGCUUGAGGGCAGAAGAGGAAAGCGGAAUUCCCGGUGUAGUGGUGAAAUGCGUAGAUAUCCGGAGGAACACCAAAGGCGAAGGCAGCUUUCUGGUGCGCACCUGACGCUGAUGGACGAAAGCCAGGGGAGCGAACGGG